rnacentral:rRNA from 1 species
GAUGAACGCUGGCGGCGUGCCUAAUACAUGCAAGUCGAGCGAACAGACGAGGAGCUUGCUCCUCUGACGUUAGCGGCGGACGGGUGAGUAACCCGUGGAUAACCUACCUAUAAGACUGGGAUAACUUCGGGAAACCGGAGCUAAUACCGGAUAAUAUAUUGAACCGCAUGGUUCAAUAGUGAAAGACGGUUUUGCUGUCACUUAUAGAUGGAUCCGCGCCGCAUUAGCUAGUUGGUAAGGUAACGGCUUACCAAGGCGACGAUGCGUAGCCGACCUGAGAGGGUGAUCGGCCACACUGGAACUGAGACACGGUCCAGACUCCUACGGGAGGCAGCAGUAGGGAAUCUUCCGCAAUGGGCGAAAGCCUGACGGAGCAACGCCGCGUGAGUGAUGAAGGUCUUCGGAUCGUAAAACUCUGUUAUUAGGGAAGAACAAAUGUGUAAGUAACUAUGCACGUCUUGACGGUACCCAAUCAGAAAGCCACGGCUAACUACGUG